UCGCCAACAUUUCAUAAGGCCUUCCUAGUGA
rnacentral:piRNA from 1 species